rnacentral:tRNA from 1 species
UGCUCGGUAGCUUAGUUGAUAAAGCGCUCGUCUAGCAUACAAGAGUCCUGGGUUUGAAUCCCAGCCGAGCAC